ACGAACGCUGGCGGCGUGCUUAACACAUGCAAGUCGAACGGAAAGGCCUAGCUUGCUAGGUACUCGAGUGGCGAACGGGUGAGUAACACGUGGGUGAUCUGCCUCGUACUUCGGGAUAAGCCUGGGAAACUGGGUCUAAUACUGGAUAGGACCAUGCUUUAGUGUGUGUGGUGGAAAGUUUUUUCGGUACGAGAUGAGCCCGCGGCCUAUCAGCUUGUUGGUGGGGUAAUGGCCUACCAAGGCGUCGACGGGUAGCCGGCCUGAGAGGGUGGACGGCCACAUUGGGACUGAGAUACGGCCCAGACUCCUACGGGAGGCAGCAGUGGGGAAUAUUGCACAAUGGGCGCAAGCCUGAUGCAGCGACGCCGCGUGGGGGAUGACGGCCUUCGGGUUGUAAACCUCUUUCGCUAGGGACGAAGCUUUUGUGACGGUACCUAGAUAAGAAGCACCGGCUAACUACGUGCCAGCAGCCGCGGUAAUACGUAGGGUGCGAGCGUUGUCCGGAAUUACUGGGCGUAAAGAGCUCGUAGGUGGUUUGUCGCGUCGUCUGUGAAAUUCCGGGGCUUAACUUCGGGCGUGCAGGCGAUACGGGCAUAACUUGAGUGCUGUAGGGGAGACUGGAAUUCCUGGUGUAGCGGUGGAAUGCGCAGAUAUCAGGAGGAACACCGAUGGCGAAGGCAGGUCUCUGGGCAGUAACUGACGCUGAGGAGCGAAAGCAUGGGGAGCGAACAGGAUUAGAUACCCUGGUAGUCCAUGCCGUAAACGGUGGGCGCUAGGUGUGAGGGUCUUCCACGACUUUCGUGCCGUAGCUAACGCAUUAAGCGCCCCGCCUGGGGAGUACGGCCGCAAGGCUAAAACUCAAAGGAAUUGACGGGGGCCCGCACAAGCGGCGGAGCAUGUGGAUUAAUUCGAUGCAACGCGAAGAACCUUACCUGGGCUUGACAUAUGCAGGAUCGGCGUAGUGAUACGUUUUCCCUUGUGGUCUGUAUACAGGUGGUGCAUGGUUGUCGUCAGCUCGUGUCGUGAGAUGUUGGGUUAAGUCCCGCAACGAGCGCAACCCUUGUCUUAUGUUGCCAGCACGUGAUGGUGGGGACUCAUGAGAGACUGCCGGGGUUAACUCGGAGGAAGGUGGGGAUGACGUCAAAUCAUCAUGCCCCUUAUGUCCAGGGCUUCACACAUGCUACAAUGGUCGGUACAACGCGCUGCGAGCCUGUGAGGGUGAGCGAAUCGCUGAAAGCCGGCCUCAGUUCGGAUUGGGGUCUGCAACUCGACCCCAUGAAGUCGGAGUCGCUAGUAAUCGCAGAUCAGCAACGCUGCGGUGAAUACGUUCCCGGGCCUUGUACACACCGCCCGUCACGUCAUGAAAGUUGGUAACACCCGAAGCCAGUGGCC
rnacentral:rRNA from 2 species